UACGUAGGGGGCAAGCGUUGUCCGGAAUCAUUGGGCGUAAAGCGCGCGUAGGCGGCUCGGAAAGUCGGGCGUGAAAUCCCGGGGCUCAACCCCGGAACUGCCUUUUGAUACUGCGAAUCUCGAGUCCGGAAGAGGUGAGUGGAAUUCCUAGUGUAGAGGUGAAAUUCGUAGAUAUUAGGAAGAACACCAGUGGCGAAGGCGACUACCUGGCCUGUUCUUGACGCUGAGGCGCGAAAGCUAGGGGAGCAAACGGG
rnacentral:rRNA from 1 species